UUCCUGGGCUUAAGUGAUCCUCCCACCUCAGCCUCCCAGCUGGGUCCGCUUUGCCUUCUGCCAUGAGUGGAAGCAGCCUGAAGCUCUCACCAGAAGCAAAUACUGACAGUAUGCUUCUUGUAUAGCCUGCAGAACUAUGAGCCAAAUAAACCUUUUUUUAAAAUAAA